rnacentral:rRNA from 1 species
CCUACGGGAGGCAGCAGUGGGGAAUAUUGCACAAUGGGCGAAAGCCUGAUGCAGCGACGCCGCGUGAGGGACGACGGCCUUCGGGUUGUAAACCUCUUUCAGCAGGGACGAAGCGCAAGUGACGGUACCUGCAGAAGAAGCACCGGCUAACUACGUGCCAGCAGCCGCGGUAAUACGUAGGGUGCAAGCGUUGUCCGGAAUUACUGGGCGUAAAGAGUUCGUAGGCGGUUUGUCACGUCGUUUGUGAAAACUCACAGCUCAACUGUGAGCCUGCAGGCGAUACGGGCAGACUUGAGUACUGCAGGGGAGACUGGAAUUCCUGGUGUAGCGGUGAAACGCGCAGAUAUCAGGAGGAACACCGGUGGCGAAGGCGGGUCUCUGGGCAGUAACUGACGCUGAGGAACGAAAGCGUGGGUAGCGAACAGGAUUAGAUACCCUGGUAGUCCACGCCGUAAACGGUGGGCGCUAGGUGUGGGUUCCUUCCACGGAAUCCGUGCCGUAGCUAACGCAUUAAGCGCCCCGCCUGGGGAGUCGGCCGCAAGGCUAAAACUUAAAGAUAGUGCGNGNGAGAGCGACGACGACGACGACGGAGGAGAG